AUGGGAAAAGGGCAGGCUGUGUUUCUGACCCAGGCUCGGCUGACUGCGGAAGGGUUGGAAAGUGUGGUGCGUGCCUGUUGUGUUAAAGAAGGACUCGAACCCUCCAAACUUGUUGAUUACAGUUCUCGCUCCUUCCCCUCUGCACGCCGCCUCCGUGUGUGUGUCUCUGCGUGGCGCUGCCCAUUAGGCACUCGUUGUUUCCUGUUAGCUCUGGUCUUUGAGAAGUGCGAGCUGGCGAUCUGCACGCCCCGGGAACCCCGAGUGGCCGGCGGCGACGUCUGCUCCACCGACUCCUUCAAGGAGGACAUCGCAGUCUUCGCCAAGCAGAUGAUACAAGCAAUACAAGUACUAAGGUUUCAUCUUUUGGAGUUAGAAAAGGUCCACGAACUGUGUGCUAACUUCUGCCACUGGUACCUUAGCUGUUUGAAGGGAAAAUGCCCAUUGAUCUUGCCAUUGAUGAAAGGGACGGCAGCUCCAAGUCAGACCACGAACUGUCAGGCUCCUCCACAAAUCUCGCUGACCAUGUACAUCUUGGAGCCUUUGGCGUUCUUUUAAAGCCAAAGGGUAAGACGGGUAAAACGGGGUAAAACAUUUUUUCAAAAACUUGUUUUAACAUGUAGUUCCACUAAUUUAGUUUUCUUGUUUGUUUUAAUGAUUUGGUCUCUUCAGGGGCUUUUCUCUACUUCUCUCACUACUGUUAUCAUACACUUCAUCUCCCUUUUCUUGGAUCCCUCCUUAUUUAUGCUGAGAGCCAAAAUAAUAAUAAUAAUGAUAAUAAUAAUAACAACAAAACACAGAAAACAAACCAGGGAGUUGAUAGAAUGAUUUGUUCUCUUAAUGUGUAAAGUUUCCUGGAUUUGGUGACUUGGGUGUUAGCAAAUUCUUUCUUUUGAUAUCAUGUCCAUUGUUUGUUUCUGGUUUCUCAACUCUGUAUACAUAAUCAGUGCAGCAGGGAUAGAAAGAGGCAAGAUAGCAGGACAAGACCUGGGAGGGGGGUGGCAGAAGGAGAGAAUUAGGGGAGAGGGAGUGAGGACUGAUUUCCCAGUCUCUCCCAGAGAUGAAAAUCCUGAGAAUUAUUGGCAAUUUUGCACUGCAUUAGAAAUAAAAGGAGUGAAUGAACACAUUACAAUUCUCAGGGCUUUUGCUCUAUAGAAACUUAUUGUCAGAAUAUAGACUUAUUGCCAAGUGCCUGAAGCAUCUUCACAAUAAAAGACAGUAACCUUGAUGAACCAAUUAUUAACAAUGUAUUACAGAAAGCUGAAGGGAAUUAUGAUGGAGUAACCAUAGGUUAGUGGUUGAGUUUUAACACUUUAACAGUUGGUGAAUGAGGACGGAGAGUAUAGUAAGGAAUGACUAUGUAUGUCAAGCCAGGAAAGGAGAUUUCUUUCUAUUCUCUCUGUUUUUAAUCCUAUUUUGGAACCGAUCUAGUGAGUCUGAUGCUUUAAAAAAAAAAAAGCAUAUGUAGUGAGACUGAAAAUUUGAAAAAGAAGCAAAGAGAAGAAAGAUUGCAGCUGGUAGGAAAGGCAAGAGUGGUGAGGUUAAAGAGAGGGUGUGAACAGCAGUUUAUUUAUAGGAACUCAGGCCUGGGGGUGGGGGACAGGGGGUCUGUACAUUGAGUUGAGCUCAGAGCCUAAACUCUUUUUAAUCCUAUUUUGGAACCGAUCUAGUGAGUCUGAUGCUUUAAAAAAAAAAAAAAAAGCAUAUGUAGUGAGACGGAAAAUUUGAAAAAGAAGCAAAGAGAAGAAAGAUUGCAGCUGGUAGGAAAGGCAAGAGUGGUGAGGUUAAAGAGAG
rnacentral:lncRNA from 1 species